rnacentral:lncRNA from 1 species
AUGCCGCGGGUGACGGAGUUUACCCUGCACCAGCGAGCACCAAGGCUGGGGCCCGGUGAGAAGGGGCCCGGUGAGAAAGGGCCUUCGGGCGACAGGGGUGACGCGGAGCUCUACACAGACACAGGGAGCACAGCAGGGGAUGGAGCGCAGGAGCCCGGCCUGGCAGAUCACCUGCCGGCUCCAAGGCCGAGGGCCUGGACAGGACGUCUCGGAAGGGCAUGGAGGCUCGGGGGCUCGGGAAGGGGAGGAGACCGGAAGUCCAGGCGGGAAAGCUGGCGCCUCCCUCCCCGGGAGCAGCUGGAGAAGCGAGCCCAGCUCUGCCGGUCUCUGAAGGAGUGGGACCUGCGACGCAACCCCGGCGAAGUGGGCAGCAGCCUGGCGGAAGCCCGCGGUCCUCGCGCAUGGCGCCCUCCUGCUCCCGAGGCCCAGGCCCCGGCCCUGGGCCCCGCUGCCUUCCCUCUCCAGGCCCGGGGGGAGCAGGCUUCCCGCCGAGCGCAGACCUGUGGAGGUGAGGAAGUCCAGUCCCGGGAGCUGUCAUGGGGGAGCCCUGACGGGACCCCCAAGUUCCAGCGCAGCGAGGCUGCUCAGAGGGGUCAUCAUGUCUCAUCACUGGUUGUCCAAAUAGUGCAACCUGGAGAUCUAAUUAAGUGUAAAAGACAGUUCAGGACCAAAGUGAGGUGAGAAUCCACUCCUCUGUCCUCGUGAGCACGCCUCCCUUUUCCCUCCGCCUGUAAGGGACCCCUGUUUUGUUUAUGGGAGGGUGAUCAGAUGUGCACUGUGGAGUUGGGUCCUGGUGGGCGCUUCUCCCUCUGCCAGUGUCGCCCGUGAGUGGGGCGGGAGAUCUGCUCAGGCUCAGCGCUGUUCCGCGUGCCGGGGGCCAAACACAUGCUGCCAGCCUGCCUCAUGGCACGGCUUUCUCCUCUUCACUCCUGCCAUCCCUGCUCAGGCUAAAACGCUUCCCUCCUGCCGUUCCAGCUCAAGUGUCCCCAGCCCCAGACUCUGCGGUGACUCUGCAGGUCUCUGCUUCCCUCUGAGUUCAGCUCAGAGCCUCAUCCGGGCUGCGGACUCCCUGCCAUCCCGCCUUGUCUCCCACCACCCUGCAAAGUGGCUCCGCAUUUCCAGUGCAGGCUCCAUUCACUCCAACCUCUGCUUUUCCUAAUCCCACCCCAGCCUCCCCUUCACCUCCCAACUCUGGGCCCCCUCUUCCUUACGCCCCAGCACUGAGUCUGGUUUUUCUGCAGCCCUGCCUGACGUCUCCAGCUGGCCGCAGCCCGUGGCCCCGUCUCUGAGGCAGCAGGGGCUAACAGCCCUGGGGCGGGUCGCUGAGGCCUGGACGCCUGCUGCUGUUUCCCAUGUUUUAGUCUUGCUCUCUUUGGAGCAUGUGGUUGAUGUUUUAAUAAAUAGCCGGUUGAAUGGUUGACCGAGGAAAAUAUAAAGACGAGGGCAUUAAGGGAAUCUCAGCCAGGCAGAGCUGACGCGUCUGUGCGUGCGUGCGUGCACACGUGUUUUUGCGAGCUCGCCCACCUCCUGGGGAGCCUUCCCACAUGCAUGCGCCUUCCUUUCUGUAGUCACCCCUGGCUCGAACAAUGGGUGCUCUGCUCUGCUCCGAGCCCCUGGAACGCGUGAGGCCUGCCUGCUGACUGCAGAGGCAGAGUGCAUCCUCCUCGGGCCCAGCGCCUUCUGAACCUAUUCCUGCCUCCCCCAAAGGAGCUGUUCCUGGCUCUGUGACUCACCCAGGCCAGCAGAGUGCAGGGAGGGAGAAGGAGCAGAGAGGAUUGCAGAGGGCUGGGGAUAACAGCACUUCCUGGGCCAACUCAGCCAUCACCAGAGUGUCUUUUAGAGAGCAGAACUGGCUGAUCCUUGUGCUGGGACACAGAGCUGGGCUGGCUUCCUACCCCGGUGCCUAGGGCACAGUCAGCAGCUGAUGAAAAUUUUACAGAAUUAGUUCAUCACAGGUGCGCUGGGGAAGGCUUCAAACAGGCAGAAAUUAGCUACCUCAGAGACGGGCUCCCUCACGUGCAAACACCCGUGGGCUUUGCAUGGCUGCCUCCGGCUGUGAUAAAGGCCAGCGUUGACACAGGAAGAGCUGAGCGGCCGGUCAGGGACGCUCCAUCCAGGAAACCUGGGAAGUUAACGCUAAUAUGCCCUAGUUUGUUGUCAAUACGAGUAAGAGUCAGCACUUAGUACUCACCAUGUACAGCAAUCACUAGCAGGUCAAACUUUUUAAAUUAUAAUGAAUCUCAAAGUUCUUUUCACUUCCGAGGGCCAAUCAGAUCCAAAUAAGCAUCUACAUGCCUGGCACAGUAGGACUGGGAGAAGAGGGAAGGAAAACAGGCAGAGUCCCUGCCCUUAAAGAACUCUGGAUUCAAGGAGGGAAACUGAAGUGGAAGCAAACUAGAUUUCAAGGCAGAAAAAGAUUAAGAACGAAGGAGAUUCAGCCUGGCAUGGUGGUGCAGCCUGAAAUCCCAGCACUCUGGGCGACUGAGGUAGGAGGAUCACAAGUUUGAUCUUACUAAACCAGCCUGGGAAACUUAGGCAGACUCUGACUCAAAAUAGAAAGGACGGGGCAUGUAGCUCUGUCCAAAGGCUCUGGGCUCACCCCAUACCACAAAAGGAA